rfam:Oryza glumipatula chromosome 8, whole genome shotgun sequence.
GAGGCAUGGGCGCGCGAUCCAUGCAACAACGUCUACGGUAAAGCACUGUUUAGGUGCGGGCUGCACGAGCGGUACCAAAUCGAGGCAAACUCUGAAUACUAGAUAUGACCCAAAAGUAACAGGGGUCAUGAUCGGCUAGUGAGACGAUGGGGGAUAAGCUUCAUCGUCGAGAGAGAAACAACCCCAAAUCACCAGCUAAGGCCAGCUAAGACCACUAAAUGACCGCUUAGUUAUAAAUGAGGUGGGGGGGGGGGUGCAAAGACAACCAGGAGGUUUGCCUAGAAGCAGCCACCCUUUAAAGAGCUAUGGGAUAUCAAAAUGCAUCGGUAGGGGAGCGUUCCGCCUUAGGCUAUGUUCGGUUACUAGGGAUUUAAUCCCUAAGGGGAAUCAAUCCGGGGAGGGAUUGAGUGAA